rnacentral:rRNA from 1 species
UUCCAGACUCCUACGGGAGGCAGCAGUGGGGAAUAUUGGGCAAUGGGCGCAAGCCUGACCCAGCAACGCCGCGUGAAGGAAGAAGGCUUUCGGGUUGUAAACUUCUUUUAAGAGGGAAGAGCAGAAGACGGUACCUCUUGAAUAAGCCACGGCUAACUACGUGCCAGCAGCCGCGGUAAUACGUAGGUGGCAAGCGUUGUCCGGAUUUACUGGGUGUAAAGGGGGCGCAGACGGCGAUGCAAGCCAGGAGUGAAAGCCCGGGGCCCAACCCCGGGACUGCUCUUGGAACUGCGUGGCUAGAGUGCAGGAGGGGCAGGCGGAAUUCCUGGUGUAGCGGUGAAAUGCGUAGAUAUCAGGAGGAACACCGGUGGCGAAGGCGGCCUGCUGGACUGCAACUGACGUUGAGGCCCGAAAGCGUGGGGAGCAAACAGGAUUAGAUACCCCUGUAGC